rnacentral:rRNA from 1 species
GAUGAACGCUGGCGGCGUGCCUAAUACAUGCAAGUCGAGCGAACAGAUAAGGAGCUUGCUCCUUUGACGUUAGCGGCGGACGGGCGAGUAACACGUGGGUAACCUACCUAUAAGACUGGGAUAACUUCGGGAAACCGGAGCUAAUACCGGAUAACAUUUGGAACCGCAUGGUUCUAAAGUGAAAGAUGGUUUUGCUAUCACUUAUAGAUGGACCCGCGCCGUAUUAGCUAGUUGGUAAGGUAACGGCUUACCAAGGCAACGAUACGUAGCCGACCUGAGAGGGUGAUCGGCCACACUGGAACUGAGACACGGUCCAGACUCCUACGGGAGGCAGCAGUAGGGAAUCUUCCGCAAUGGGCGAAAGCCUGACGGAGCAACGCCGCGUGAGUGAUGAAGGGUUUCGGCUCGUAAAACUCUGUUAUUAGGGAAGAACAAAUGUGUAAGUAACUGUGCACGUCUUGACGGUACCUAAUCAGAAAGCCACGGCUAACUACGUG